rnacentral:rRNA from 1 species
UCCUACGGGGGGCAGCAGUGGGGAAUAUUGCGCAAUGGGCGAAAGCCUGACGCAGCGACGCCGCGUGAGGGAUGAAGGUCUUCGGAUCGUAAACCUCUGUCAGCAGGGAAGAACGGUCACUGUGCUAAUCAGCAGUGAAUUGACGGUACCUGCAAAGGAAGCACCGGCUAACUCCGUGCCAGCAGCCGCGGUAAUACGGAGGGUGCGAGCGUUAAUCGGAAUUACUGGGCGUAAAGCGCUCGUAGGCGGUAUGUCAAGUCAAGGGUGAAAUCCCCGCGCUCAACGUAGGAACUGCCUUUGAAACU